UAAGUACUCCCUCCGUUCGGAAUUACUCGUCCAAAAAAUGAAUGUAUCUAGAUGUAUUUUAGUUGUAGAUACAUCCAUUUUUGUGACAAGUAAUUCUGAACCGAGGGAGUAUCAG
rfam:Triticum aestivum genome assembly, contig: Triticum_aestivum_CS42_TGACv1_scaffold_050326_1BS